rnacentral:rRNA from 1 species
AGUGAACGCUGGCGGUAGGCCUAACACAUGCAAGUCGAACGGCAGCACAGUAAGAGCUUGCUCUUACGGGUGGCGAGUGGCGGACGAGUGAGGAAUACAUCGGAAUCUACUUUUUCGUGGGGGAUAACGUAGGGAAACUUACGCUAAUACCGCAUACGACCUACGGGUGAAAGCAGGGGAUCUUCGGACCUUGCGCGAUUGAAUGAGCCGAUGUCGGAUUAGCUAGUUGGCGGGGUAAAGGCCCACCAAGGCGACGAUCCGUAGCUGGUCUGAGAGGAUGAUCAGCCACACUGGAACUGAGACACGGUCCAGACUCCUACGGGAGGCAGCAGUGAGGAAUAUUGGACAAUGGGCGCAAGCCUGAUCCAGCCAUACCGCGUGGGUGAAGAAGGCCUUCGGGUUGUAAAGCCCUUUUGUUGGGAAAGAAAAGCAGCAGGUUAAUACCCCGCUGUUCUGACGGUACCCAAAGAAUAAGCACCGGCUAACUUCGU